AUUCUCUGCUGUGCUGCUGCUGGAGGAGGAGGAUUAAGAGAGACUCUGCUGCUUUCAUAUUUCUGUAUUUGAUUGAAAAUAAACUAGUAAUCAAGAUAUUGAGAUCUUUUCCAGCUGAUUUUACCCCCGGAUCAGAGGAGGACUCUUUGUGGGUUGUUAACCAGCUUUAGGAUGUGUGUUAGCUAGCUAAGUUAGCUAAGUUGUGUGUGUAGUUAGCGUUAGCCAGCUAAGUUAGCUAGGUUAUGUGUGUGUUAGUUAACUGGCUAAGUUAGCUAGGUUAUGUGUGUGUUAGUUAGCUAGUUUAAAUGUGUGUUAGUUAGCUAGGUUAUGUGUGUUCGUUUGCUAGCUAAGUUAACUUUUAUGUGUGGGUUAGUUAGCUAGGUUAUAUGUGUGUUAGUUAGCAAGCUAAGUUAGCUAGGGGAAAUGUGUGUGUGUUAGCUAGGUUAAUCGUGUUAGCUAGUUUAAAUGUGUG